GGAGAGGUGGCUGAGUGGCCGAAAGCGCGCGCUUGGAGAGCGUGUGGGCGGCAACGUCCCCAGGGUUCGAAUCCCUGCCUCUCCGCCA
rnacentral:tRNA from 1 species